AUCGGAGAAUUCACAUUUAGGAGUGCAUCACAAUGCCUCACAGCACAUUUCCACCUUGUACUGAGAACAUCUCUCAAUCAGGGUAAAAGUUUGUUCGAACAGCUUUGCAUUGGGAAUAUCUUCCUAAUUAUGUACUUUGGGGAGAUAUACCCAAUGCAAGGUUGCUAAAGACUGUUCGAACGGUGUGGAUAGUCAAGUCAAGUUCAAACAUAGGAGGCCACUAGUUGCGAUUACAAAAAAAUCCUUUUUAUCCCUGAUUAAAUCAAAGUUUUCUUUCUGCUGUCACCGAUUGGAAAAUUCUCGAUUGGUAUCAUUUAUUUUGGGUGUAGUGCCAUUUUGGUUUCUAAACUUUAAAACACGACCAUGUAUAAAUGUAUCAAUUUAAUUAAUAUCUACCUUAAUCCACCAGUAGUUAUGCGUGACAUGACAGUAUAUACGAUUUAGAACUUUUGAAAAUAUUAAAAUUACCCUUAUAAAUAAAACAUUAUCCCUCAUUCUCUUCCUCGAAAAGAUGAAAGAAAUUACCAAUUCCGUAAAGCAUGUUGGCUAGGUACAUGUUUCUUUAAUGAAUGUUGGUAAGAAUUGUGUGUGGAGAGAGAGAGAGCUGAGCAGCGAUUCGAAGGUGGAGACGAUCUCAAGACUUGCUCAACGGAAGAUAGAGAACUUUGGUCCAUGCUCUUACAGACGGUCUGACCUUUCCAAGGCCGGAAUUUGGAACUGAGAAGAAUCGCUAUCUCUACAUUCGUCUCUUUCCAGAGCCUUGUCGGGUUGCUAAAGAACAACUUCCAAUAGCUAGAUUUGUUCUCUGAGUCUUCAAUGUUGGCGCUAGUUGUCACCCUUAUCUUUCGCCAAGGUGAACUACUACCAAGAGGGUAACCAAGUUUAUCACCAUCUAGAUGUCUAUUGAUUUCCGAAGAGCUUUGAUGACUUGGGCAUCAUGGGUUUAUAGGCAUAUAAAUCCACACAAGACCCAAGCUCUUUUUCAAAGCUCAGCACCUUCCCAUUUCAGGGGAGGUCAAUGAAUUUCCGGGGGGCACUGUAAAUAAUCUAUUCAACCCCUCAACAAUAUUUCAGGAUCAGACAGACUACCCGGAAAAGAAUAUAAUUACUGAAGAGGUUACAAGGCAAAUGAAGACUCCUGCAACUCCCUUGAAUGUAACUAGUUUGUCAGAAUUUAGGACAUAUGGUCAUCCAUCUAUAUAUGGAAGAAAGCCAGGGAAGGGUCCUGCUUCAAGUAUUCAAGACUGCAGCCAUUUGUGCCUCUCCGACAUUCCUGAUACCUAGAAUGAAUUGUUGUAUUAUUAUCUGCAAUCUAAAGAAAAACACAAUUCCACUUAGCAAACUGAUGAACACAUCUUAAUGUCUCUCAGGUAUUUUUUUUUUCUUCCUUUGCUGUGAUUGUUGUUCAUAAAAAAGAAGAGGGGACGUUUGGUCUUCAAUCUUUUUCUACUAA